rfam:Astyanax mexicanus chromosome 3, whole genome shotgun sequence.
CAAACAGCUUUAUUUAAAGCUAUCAAAUAUGCAAACUAUUGUUUU